GGAUGACGUAGAGGCGAUGAAGAGGAUCAACCUUAUGAUGCUCCUGGCUCUGCUGGUCUUAGGGGCAGGCCUCUCCUUUGCCCAAGAAGAGUCCAAUCUUGGCCUCCUCCAUCUACCUGGUAAGCUAAUAUGUGUCACGAAGCACUCGAUUGGUUUGCUGGAGAAGAAGAGAAAAAAAUUAGAGAAAUACCUCAUAUUGUUUUGGAAUUUUUUAAAAAUAAACAAAGCAGGUUUUCAAUGAAAAUAAGAUUUCCAGAUAUGAAAAAGUCCAUUCUGAUUGACCGAACAUUAAGAUAAUUUUUUUUCCAAAAGUAUUUUCAACUUUUUAGAUAGAAUGGGUUAAAUUUUUUUUUCUUUGUUAAGAACAUAACAAAUAUUUUAUAUUAUUUUUUUCAAAAAAUAGACACGGGAUCCGCUACUAUUUUUUUAUAAUUAACUAAAUAUAUAAAAUAAAAAAAUAUUUUAGCAAGAAAAAAUUAGACGAAUAAUGUUCUUUGAGGUAUUAGUCUGCAUGCUUCGCUAAGACAUGCCCAGGUAAUCGUCGUGGUUAUGGCGAGAGGGUUGGGAAGAGGCCGUCGACGUGCUGCGAUGGCUUCGGUUCGAACCUCCCUUCGUCUGGUGCGACGAUAUCUUCCUCUACAGCUGUGGCCUGCGCUGCUCUCAAACUUAGCCUCCUGGAAAUUAGCUUCAUUAAUUUGCUCUUUGGUGCGCCUGGAUGGAUCAAAUGAGGGACGAAUGUAACCAAUGCUUUCUAUCCAUCUACCCUUUUAUUUAGUAUUCGGCUCUCUCUCUGUUUUUGGAGUCUGAAAAGGAUCUGUCAAAGUGGUCUCAUGUUAUAUUGUUGUUACAACUAGAACCAGGUUUAAAUAACG
rnacentral:lncRNA from 1 species